AAAAUAAAAGAGUGAAUAGAGGCAGCAACGUUCAGGUCCAGGGUGCGGCAUGGAGGGGUCAGGCGAAGAUGUUGUGUUGCUGGACCGCGCGUCUCGAGCGACGAGGGGAAAGAGAUUGACGAAGCUCCUCGACGACGAAAUCCAAGAAGACGAAUUGUUCUGGAACCAGGACGCUCUCAAAGAGGACGAAGAGGACGAUAACUACCAAGAGGAGCCCGAAAUCGCCGACGAAUUCGACUCCGACUUCGACCAAGACGAGCCCGUGCCCGAGGAAGAAGAAGACCCUAACAAAAAUGACGAUGAUGAAAGGAUGCAUAAAAAGAAGCGACUUAUAUUUCCUGGGAAGACUCUGGCGAAAAAGAAGAAAAAGAAGAAAACCAUAUCCAAAUUGGAGAGUUCUCCAAAGGAGAAUGAGGACGAGGAGCAUUCCGGGAAAGUUGUGGAGGACGAGGGUGGGGAGAGAAUGAUCAGGAAGUCCACUAGGACUUCUGUCAUUGUUCGCCAAGCUGAGAGAGAUGCCAUUCGUGCAGCCCUCCAAGCCACCAUCAAGCCGGUCAAAAGGAAGAAGGAAGGUGAGGAGAAGAGGAUGACACAGGAAGAGAUGCUUUUAGAAGCUGCUCAAACAGAAAUUAUGAACUUGCGAAAUUUAGAGCGUGUUUUGGCUAGAGAGGAAGAGGUUAAGAGAAGAGCAAUUGUGCAUAAAACUGUUUUUAAUGGACCGCAGAUACGGUAUAUUUCAAAAAAUGGUACUUCCUAUUUAGAGUUUAUUAAAGGGUCGUCAUUUCACUCGGACAUUCCCACAGCACCUGUACAAUAUCCAGAGCAACCUGUUUGCCCGAUUACUGGUUUGCCUGCCAAGUACCGUGAUCCAAAGACUGGCCAGCCAUAUGCUACAAAAGAAGCUUUUAAAAUAAUUCGAGAACGCUUUCUGAAUGAAAGUACUAACAGUAGAAAGGACAUGAGCAUGGGAGGCUUAUAUGAUUCAGUUUCUGGAUGUGGUUUUUCAAUUAAGCGAAAGAGAUCGAUAAUGCCAGAUAAAAAUGUCAACCCAGAUGGUCGGUCCUUAGCUCGUUUUCGUAGAAUUCCGGAUUUUGAGGAUGAAGAUUAUUCUGACUAGCUGCCUGAGGCUGAUAGUGAAAGAUGUCAUGGUGGUUGUACUACAUGAUCAUGAUCCAGACUUCAGGUUGAGAUAAUAUAAGAAACCGAGUAUAUGACCAGUGCUUGCAAGGAAAUGUUGGGUCGUGUCUUGGAGCUUGCAACUAGCAAGAGACGGGAGAAAGUUGGGUUGCUCUUCUGGAGUUUGAUAGACAUCAACCGUUUACCCGAAGGCUACAAUUUGAUCAAAACGUUAGAUUUCCCAUUUGUCUUUGACACAAAAACAAAGCUAUUAUUGUGAAGAACUAACUGAGAUCCAUCCAUUUAACAAAAAGUAGAUUGAUGACGUUCGCAGGAAAAGCUGAACAGCCAGGAAGGCGCCAACGCGAAUCAAAAGACACUAGUUUUCUAUGGAUUAAACAAAUACUAUAGGGACCACGUGACACAUGCAAAUAUGAGUUGCCAUGGUCCAUCAAUUAAAUAUACAAUUUGAUCUUUCAAUUACACUUAACAAAUGUUUAAAUAUUAUAGACGAUUAAUUUGAUUCUACUUCAUUACAUUAAA